GAUAGCUCAGUCAGUAGAGCAUGAGAUUCUUAAUCUCAGGGUUGUGAGCCCCAGGUUGGGUGAAAGAUUCCUGCAUUGCA